UUAGUGAAAUUCAAGUAAUAUGACAAUAUCACUCUUGAAAUAGGCUUCAGACUUUGUGUCAAGGAAUCAAGCCCUGGAUCCUUAAUCUCGAAA